CAGCGCCGCGGUAAUACGUAGGGUGCGAGCGUUAAUCGGAAUUACUGGGCGUAAAGCGAGCGCAGACGGUUAUUUAAGCAGGAUGUGAAAUCCCCGGGCUUAACCUGGGAACUGCGUUCUGAACUGGAUAGCUAGAGUGUGUCAGAGGGGGGUAGAAUUCCACGUGUAGCAGUGAAUGCGUAGAGAUGUGGAGGAAUACCGAUGGCGAAGGCAGCCCCCUGGGAUAACACUGACGUUCAUGCUCGAAAGCGUGGGUAGCAAACAGGAUUAGAUACCCCAGUAGUCCCUGUCUCUUAUACAC
rnacentral:rRNA from 1 species